UAUGUGAUGUUGUGUAUGGUUGCGCAUU
rnacentral:sRNA from 1 species